AUUGUACUCCCUCCGUCCCAAAAUACUUGUCGGAGAAAUGGAUAAAAAUAGAUGUAUCUACAACUAAAAUACAUCUAGAUACAUUCAUUUGUCCGACAAGUAUUUUUGGACGGAGGGAGUACUAA
rnacentral:pre_miRNA from 1 species